CUUUCUCUUUCUCAAAAAUAAACAUUAAAAAAAAUUUUUUUUAAAGGUACUGUGCAACCAUUAUAUUUGUAAAUUAUUUAGCACGUUUUUGUCACCUAGAAUAGCGUGCCAUACUACUCGAGGGGGCUAUCUGGCAAGUAAUACCAAGUUCCAGUGUUUGCUUCUUAGUAUUGAACUACAUUUGCAGUUCUGUCCUAGACACGUCGCACCAGUCGAAUCCAUUCGUGUGUCUUUUUGUUCACGUGCUCUGUACCACUGGUGAGUGCGCCUUGGUUACCUUACCUGCUGCCACAGAAAGUUCUUUUACAUCCUGAUGGCUAUUGCCAAGGCUACACGAAAGAAAAGCUAUAUUUGUAUGCAACCCUAACCCUUUGAUGGCUAACCUAGGUUCCUGAUUGCUGCGCCUUGUUCCAUCUGUGUUCUUAUGCUAAUAAAGUAUGUUUGGUGUUCUCCUUGUAAAACAACAAACGAGUCACAUGUUGUCCCUUCUGCCACAUUCUGUUCAUCGGAAUCCAGUCACUAAGUCCAGCACUUUUGAAGGAAGGAGUGCAAAGGAUUUGUGAACAUAUUUUAAAACCAUCAGUUCUGCCCUGACGCAUGAUCUGUAUGGACUUAUGCGAAGGUAUCCUUAGAAUAGAGUUCUAGAACUCAACGACUGGAUCAAGUGAUAUAUGCACUUUGAAUCUUGAUAAUUCCUGUUUGUGGCAGAAACCGUUCAUCGUCCUCCAAUAGCCAUUGUCUUUCUUUCUCUAUUUAGCACUGGACCUCCAGAGUUUUAGCUGGCACAGCUCGAGAAUGUACCUCCCAACCUCCAUUGCUGCUACGUGGAGAUGUGCGACGAAGUCCUGCCCAGUGAGAGGAACGGGUUGCUCAAAAAGCAAAUGACUCGUGGGUCACGUGAGUGGGGAAGGCCGAGGUGGAGUGACAGUGCCCUUCUAGUUCGCCCACCAGCCUCCCGCCGGAGCAGACAGGGAAUCCGUCGUGCCCGCGACUAUGCCCAUCUCAGAGUGCACGCUGUGUUCUUGCGGCCCGUGACGAUGAGGAAACCGAGAGCAGAGACCUUGACCCUUCUGUCCACUGUUGAACUCCAGCACCCAGAAUGGUAGGAAUUCAACACACUCGUCUGUUUAACGGCACCAUGAUGUGCUCUAAUGGGGAGCUCGGGGGCCAACAACCUCCCGGAUGAUGGCCCAGUGGGACCUGGGAAACGGACUGAGGCUCUGAUGCCAUUCAAGAGGUCUGCCCCUGCCUCCUGCCCUCUUUUCAUCCACGCUUAUUUUUCAAGGCCACUUAUAUGCAGCACUUUCACAAAGAGAGAAAUCAGAUUUAGGUUUGGCUCCCGAGUAGAUUAUAAUUACAAUUUAAAUCAGGGAUAACCUAUGCAGAAAAACCAUGGCAAAGUAACAAAAAUCACAAAGAGAAGCAAACAAUGUGCUGUAACAAUUUUCUCAUUUGUUCAUUCAUUCAUUCAUUCAUUCAUUCAUUUGUUCACUCACUCAAGGAGCAUUCAGUGGGUUCAGCCGUGGGAUGCAGAGAUGAGAGUGACUUAGGUCCCGCUUCCUGUGGGAGGAGGCAGUGAAGGGUAGCAAAGGCCUGGGGCCAGCAGCUGAGGAGAGCGGGCUCCAGGCCAGAGGCCUGCCCCCCACAUCUCUCUUCUCUCUGCUCUGAGGGGACCUUUCCCCAGAGCUGGUCCAGCCUAGAGUGCAGCCUAAAGGGUUCUGGUCUGCCGAGAAAAGCAAGUCAGUGGACCUUGUCCCAGGCCUUGGGGCUAGCUGACCCCUUUCUGUGUCCCUCUGUCCUCCCCCCUCCCUCUGUGAUAGCUGGCAGAGGGCUCCAGGCUCCUGGCCUGGCUGCACACUCAUGCACCUGCUCACUCACGCAGAGCCAUCUACAGACAGCCCGGCCUCUUCCCCCAUCUGCCCACGCAGCUUUGCGGGGUGAUUGAUGGGGCUGCUCUCGCUCUGGGUCCCAGAGAGCUCCUUUUGAAUAAUAACUUGGCAAAAUUACUCUCUUUUUUUUGCUCUCCCUAUUUCUGAUUCAUUUGUUCUUUCUAAGUCAUUCAUCUUUUUUGAGUCAGAGGAAGAAUGAGGAAGAGGAGGAGGAGGAGUCACAGGUGCGAGGGGCCAGGAGCCCCGCCUCCUCCUGUCACCGACUGCACCCGAGACAACGGCACCUCUCCCGCUAGGAUGUCUUUAUUACACCUGACCUCUGCCCGUGGGAGAAAAGCCAGUGUGGGAGGUAAGGGAGGUGGGGGAGGGAGGGGCCUUUCUGGACUGCUGAAGCCCCACCUUGAAGGCAGCCACCUACUCUAUUCACAUGCAAGGUCUCCUGACACGCUUGCGGGAAUGUUAGGGUUUUCUCACCCUCAAAGGGGAGCAGCAAAGAAGGUAGGAAGGAGAGAUGGGGGUUCAAGUGGGUCCUGUCAGCUUACCAACACCUUCACUGGUCACCUGCCAUGUGCCAAGCUCCAGAAAGACAGACGAACAGAUUCUAUUCCUGCCCCCAAGGGGUUCGCGGGCUAGUACACAGGUAAGCACAACACCUGCGGUACAUGGUCUAGUGGAAGUAAGUCCCGUGCAAGCAUAUGGAGGAGACUAUUUAUUCUGUGACAAGAGGGACCAGCAAGGCAGUCUUCACAGAUGGGCGGGUGAUGAGCUCUUCCGGAGCCUCAGUCUAAAGGUGGGGGAGGAUGCUCCAAUGGGGGGAGGAAAUAGCUUCUUUCUUUUACCAAAAAAUGUGCCCUUUGCUCCUCUGCCACACAGAAACUCACUGCCUAUUUCUCUUUAUUUUGUUUUCUCCAGCAGGCUGCACGCACGCAACUGGGAUGGUUCGAGUAUGGCCCCAAAUGUCCGCGGGCACGAUCAGGGAGCCUGUUUGGGGCCAUUUGCCGCAUGGCUACGGUUGGGAGGCUGGAAGUUUCCUUGAGAGUCAAGUCUCCUUCCAGCCAUCUCUGCCAUUCAGCUUGAGUAUUUUUCCCCCUGGGAAGGAUUUCCCCAUAAAAUAAAUGUCUCGUCUGAAUUAAUCUUA